UACGAAGGGUGCAAGCGUUACUCGGAAUUACUGGGCGUAAAGCGCACGUAGGCGGCUUUGUAAGUUAGAGGUGAAAGCCCGGGGCUCAACUCCGGAAUUGCCUUUAAGACUGCAUCGCUUGAAUCCGGGAGAGGUGAGUGGAAUUCCGAGUGUAGGGGUGAAAUUCGUAGAUAUUCGGAAGAACACCAGUGGCGAAGGCGGCUCACUGGACCGGCAUUGACGCUGAGGUGCGAAAGCGUGGGGAGCAAACAGG
rnacentral:rRNA from 1 species